GCAAAGCUAAUUUGUUGUUGAGCACACAUGCAGUCGCACAAACACACAUGCACUUAACUCCGUUUAAAGUGCACUGAAGUUGUUAAAAGUAGGCCAGGGCUUGCCGGGGCCGGAGAGUGUAAACAAGUCCUGAUCAGUUUGGUUCCCUUCCACUGGAAGGACUCUGAAUUAAACAUAACAUAGGCUGGAUCUGUUUAUGCAAGGGCCAGGCACAGACCUGAGGCUAUGUUCAAUCAAUCUGGCUGCGAAUUAAAUCAAAGGAUCACUCUGAAUAUACAGUACUGCUGCUUAUGCUGCCAGGUAAAUUACCAUGGGGAUUUUUUUUUUUUUUUUUUAUCUGGAAAUGCAGCGAGAUGUCAACAUGUGUAUGUUCGUAAUUAGCAUUUUGAUGCGGCGCUGACAUUAUAGUGAACAUAGUGCAAGGCUAAGACUGAUUAUUUGAGUUACUGAGUAAUGUGCCAACCGUUUUCUGAUGUUUUUCAACCUCGGCUCAGCGUGCGACUUACUGUGCGCUUAAGUGAUUCAUUAACACGUUCAGCUCGGGAAUUAUCACAGUGUAAUUAAGGCAGUUCACAUCUUAUCUUUUUAACAGACACAGCGAGGUACACUGUCACCAUCACGCUUUGUUAAUUACAGAUCAGAACUGAGUAAUGCAAAGUAAAGAGUUGGAAAUUAAAGCAGCAGUGGGUAGAAAUGGAGCAAAUAUGAUUAAAAAAAAUAGUGCAUGAGACAGGUAAUCUGAAAAAAAAAUCAUGUGCCUCUGUGUCCACCGGUGCUCCUAAUGGAAUCUGCAAGAUUUCACAUACCGGAGGAAAACAAACAGUAAGAGCCGAGAUGGAGCCUUGCCGCCUCUGAGCAGCUGUCAAUCACUCGCAGACUGUGAUCAAACGGUCAAACUAGGCAGCACUGAUCAAAUAU